CCCCAUGUGGCUCAGUUGGUAGAGCAUGGUGUUUGCAAUGCCAGCAUGGUGUGUGCAACGCCAGGGUUGUGGGUUCGAUUUCCACGGGGG
rfam:Salmo salar isolate Sally breed double haploid chromosome ssa12, whole genome shotgun sequence.